rnacentral:rRNA from 1 species
AUGAACGCUAGCUACAGGCUUAACACAUGCAAGUCGAGGGGCAUCAGGAAGAAAGCUUGCUUUCUUUGCUGGCGACCGGCGCACGGGUGAGUAACACGUAUCCAACCUGCCCUUUACUCGGGGAUAGCCUUUCGAAAGAAAGAUUAAUACCCGAUAGCAUAAUGAUUCCGCAUGGUUUCAUUAUUAAAGGAUUCCGGUAAAGGAUGGGGAUGCGUUCCAUUAGGUUGUUGGUGAGGUAACGGCCCACCAAGCCUUCGAUGGAUAGGGGUUCUGAGAGGAAGGUCCCCCACAUUGGAACUGAGACACGGUCCAAACUCCUACGGGAGGCAGCAGUGAGGAAUAUUGGUCAAUGGGCGUUAGCCUGAACCAGCCAAGUAGCGUGAAGGAUGAAGGCUCUAUGGGUCGUAAACUUCUUUUAUAUAAGAAUAAAGUGCAGUAUGUAUACUGUUUUGUAUGUAUUAUAUGAAUAAGGAUCGGCUAACUCCGUGCCAGCAGCCGCGGUAAUACGGAGGAUCCGAGCGUUAUCCGGAUUUAUUGGGUUUAAAGGGAGCGUAGGUGGACUGGUAAGUCAGUUGUGAAAGUUUGCGGCUCAACCGUAAAAUUGCAGUUGAUACUGUCAGUCUUGAGUACAGUAGAGGUGGGCGGAAUUCGUGGUGUAGCGGUGAAAUGCUUAGAUAUCACGAAGAACUCCGAUUGCGAAGGCAGCUCACUGGACUGCAACUGACACUGAUGCUCGAAAGUGUGGGUAUCAAACAGGAUUAGAUACCCUGGUAGUCCACACAGUAAACGAUGAAUACUCGCUGUUUGCGAUAUACAGUAAGCGGCCAAGCGAAAGCAUUAAGUAUUCCACCUGGGGAGUACGCCGGCAACGGUGAAACUCAAAGGAAUUGACGGGGGCCCGCACAAGCGGAGGAACAUGUGGUUUAAUUCGAUGAUACGCGAGGAACCUUACCCGGGCUUGAAAGUUACUGACGAUUCUGGAAACAGGAUUUCCCUUCGGGGCAGGAAACUAGGUGCUGCAUGGUUGUCGUCAGCUCGUGCCGUGAGGUGUCGGCUUAAGUGCCAUAACGAGCGCAACCCUUAUCUUUAGUUACUAACAGGUCAUGCUGAGGACUCUGGAGAGACUGCCGUCGUAAGAUGUGAGGAAGGUGGGGAUGACGUCAAAUCAGCACGGCCCUUACGUCCGGGGCUACACACGUGUUACAAUGGGGGGUACAGAAGGCAGCUAGCGGGUGACCGUAUGCUAAUCCCAAAAGCCUCUCUCAGUUCGGAUCGAAGUCUGCAACCCGACUUCGUGAAGCUGGAUUCGCUAGUAAUCGCGCAUCAGCCACGGCGCGGUGAAUACGUUCCCGGGCCUUGUACACACCGCCCGUCAAGCCAUGGGAGCCGGGGGUACCUGAAGUACGUAACCGCAAGGAUCGUCCUAGGGUAAAACUGGUGACUGGGGCU